rnacentral:rRNA from 1 species
CAAUAGCGUAUAUUAACGUUGUUGCAGUUAAAAAGCUCGUAGUUGGAUUUCUGACAGGAGUGACCGGUCCGAGUCGCAAGACUCGUGUACUUUUGUGUCUUACUCUAGUCAUCCUUAUGGAGAUUGUGUUUCGGCAUUGAGUUGUCGGGCAUAGGACCCAUAUCGUUUACUGUGAAAAAAUUAGAGUGUUUAAAGCAGGCAAUUGCUGUGAAUACAUUAGCAUGGAAUAAUAAGAUAGGACUUUGGUGCUAUUUUGUUGGUUUGCCACCAAGGUAAUGAUUAAGAGGGACAGUUGGGGGUAUUCGUAUUUAAUUGUCAGAGGUGAAAUUCUUGGAUUUAUGAAAGACGAACUACUGCGAAAGCAUUUACCAAGGAUGUUUNCAUUAA